rnacentral:rRNA from 1 species
GAUGAACGCUGGCGGCGUGCCUAAUACAUGCAAGUCGAGCGGUAAGGCCCCUUCGGGGGUACACGAGCGGCGGACGGCUGAGUAACGACGUAGGAACGUACCCAACUGAGGCAUAAGCACCAGAAAUCGGUGUCUAAGUACCGCAUGUGACUCUUCGGAUUAAAGCGUUCGGCGGGUUUAGGACGGCCUGCGCAUGAUUAGCUUGUUGGUGAGGUAAUAGCUCACCAAGGCGAUGAUCAUUAGCUGGUCUGAGAGGAUG